rnacentral:tRNA from 1 species
UGCGGGAUAGAGCAGUCUGGUAGCUCGCGACCCUCAUAAGGUCGAGGUCGAUGGUUCAAAUCCAUCUUCCGCAA